rnacentral:rRNA from 1 species
GUAAGUGGCAAGCGUUGUCCGGAAUUAUUGGGCGUAAAGCGCGCGCAGGCGGUUCUUUAAGUCUGAUGUGAAAGCCCACGGGCUCAACCGUGGAGGGUCAUUGGAAACUGGAGAACUUGAGUACAGAAGAGGAAAGCGGAAUUCCACGUGUAGCGGUGAAAUGCGUAGAGAUGUGGAGGAACACCAGUGGCGAAGGCGGCUUUCUGGUCUGUAACUGACGCUGAGGCGCGAAAGCGUGGGGAGCAAACAGGAUUAGAUACCCUGGUAGUCCACGCCGUAAACGAUGAGUGCUAAGUGUUAGGGGGUUUCCGCCACUUAGUGCUGCAGCUAACGCAUUAAGCACUCCGCCUGGGGAGUACGGCCGCAAGGCUG